AGACCGAUAGCGAACAAGUAGAGUGAUCGAAAGAUGAAAAGCACUUUGAAAAGAGGGUUAAACAGCACGUGAAAUUGUUAAAAGGGAAGCGCUUGUGACCAGACUUGCGUCCGGUGAAUCACCCAGCUCUCGCGGCUGGGGCACUUCGCCGGCUCAGGCCAGCAUCAGCUCGCUGUCGGGGACAAAAGCUUCAGGAACGUAGCUCUCUUCGGGGAGUGUUAUAGCCUGUUGCAUAAUACCCUUCGGCGGGCUGAGGUACGCGCCAACGCAAAGGAUGCUGGCAUAAUGGUCAUCAGCGACCCGUCUUGAAACACGGACCAAGGAG
rnacentral:rRNA from 1 species